UGGAUUAACGGAAAAAUUCUUUUUUAAUUUCAAAAAUUGAAGUUAUUUUUGUCAGUGAAGAAACUACAAUAAAAAUUAAGGACAAGAAGACCCUAAGAAUUUUUAAUAAUUUUAAAAAAGUUUUUUUUAAAUUAUUUUAAUUGGGGCGAUUAACAAAAAUAAGAAACUUUAUUUUUCCAAAAAAAUGAACCAUUAAUAAUGGUCAUAUGAAAAAAAUACUCUAGGGAUAACAGCGUAAUAAUUUUAGAUAGUUCUUAUAGACAAAAUAGUUUGCGACCUCGAUGUUGGAUUAGGAUUCUUAUUUAAUGAAGAAGUUAAAAAAAGAAGUUUGUUCAACUUUUAAAGUCCUACAUGAUCUGAGUUC
rnacentral:rRNA from 1 species